rnacentral:rRNA from 1 species
AUGAAUGUACAUAAAGUCCCUAAAGAUAGACAAAAAUUCUCUGUCUCCUUUAAAUCACGAUGGAGAUUUCAACUCCAGUGCUGCUCCAGAAAAACCACAGGCUACUUUGGAAUUGUACACAAAAAAGAAAGCUGGAAGUUGGAUGAAGAACAUUCAGAUUAUCUUAUUGACACUGAAGAGACUUCCUGCAGCCAAAGAAAAGUGAACAUUAGACAAGCGCAGAAUUUCUUUAACAAAAACUAUUUUGGUGCAAGCCAAACAGCUAAUACUGGUUCAACCCACAAGGCAUCUUUCUAUAACUACAGCAUCUUGUAUGAAUCAAAACUGCUGAUAGUUUGCAAAUCAAACUCGGACCCUAAGUUCUCGCGAACACCAUGA